GACGGGGAUGAAGCCCCAGAGGCGGGUCCUAUACAUGCAAGUCGAACGCUUUUUCUUUCACCGGAGCUUGCUCCACCGAAAGAAAAAGAGUGGCGAACGGGUGAGUAACACGUGGGUAACCUGCCCAUCAGAAGGGGAUAACACUUGGAAACAGGUGCUAAUACCGUAUAACACUAUUUUCCGCAUGGAAGAAAGUUGAAAGGCGCUUUUGCGUCACUGAUGGAUGGACCCGCGGUGCAUUAACUAGUUGGUGAGGUAACGGCUCACCAAGGCAACGAUGCAUAGCCGACCUGAGAGGGAGAUCGGCCACACUGGGACUGAGACACGGCCCAAACUCCUACGGGAGGCAGCAGUAGGGAAUCUUCGGCAAUGGACGAAAGUCUGACCGAGCAACGCCGCGUGAGUGAAGAAGGUUUUCGGAUCGUAAAACUCUGUUGUUAGAGAAGAACAAGGAUGAGAGUAAAAUGUUCAUCCCUUGACGGUAUCUAACCAGAAAGCCACGGCUAACUACGUGCCAGCAGCCGCGGUAAUACGUAGGUUGGCAAGCGUUGUCCGGGAUUUAUUGGGCAUAAAGCGAGCGCAGGCGGUUUCUUAAAUCUGAUGGGAAAGCCCCCGGCUCAACCGGGGAGGGUCAUUGGAAACUGGGAGACUUGAGUGCAGAAGAGGAGAGUGGAAUUCCAUGUGUAGCGGUGAAAUGCGUAGAUAUAUGGAGGAACACCAGUGGCGAAGGCGGCUCUCUGGUCUGUAACUGACGCUGAGGCUCGAAAGCGUGGGGAGCGAACAGGAUUAGAUACCCUGGUAGUCCACGCCGUAAACGAUGAGUGCUAAGUGUUGGAGGGUUUCCGCCCUUCAGUGCUGCAGCAACGCAUUAAGCACUCCGCCUGGGGAGUACGACCAGCAAGGUUGAAACUCAAAGGAAUUGACGGGGGGCCCGCACAGCGGUGGAGCAUGUGGUUUAUUCGAGCACUGCGGAAGAACUUACCAGUCUGACAUUCUUUGACCACUCUGAAGAUAAAGCUUCCCUUCGGGGCAAAUUGACAGGUGGUGCAUGUUGUUCGUCACUCGUGUCUUGAAUGUUGGUUAAGUCCCCACGAAGCCAACUUUAUUGUAAUUGCCUCAUUAAUUGGCACCUGCACGCGAGAUUGCGGUACAAACGGAAGAGGGUGGAUAGACUCAA
rnacentral:rRNA from 1 species